GUGCCUGGUGCUACGACUCCCAGGACCCCAAGUGUGGGAAGAAGCUGGCCCCUGCCUGUGGGGGCCCAGGCCAGUCCCCCAUCGACACUGACCUUCACAUCAUCUUCCAAGGCUAUGACUCAGCACCUCCAGGCCCUUGGACCCUGGAGAAUGACAGCCACACAGUGCUACUCUGAAUGGACACUGAUCCUCAGAACCACCUGGAGAUUUGGGAGGCUGGGCUGCUGUUGCCUGUCUACCGCGCACUGCAGCUGCACUUCAACUGGUGGGGGGGCCCGAGGCGAGCAGACUCGGAGCACAGCCUGGACAGGCAGCGCCAGGCUAUGGAGAUGCACGUGGUCCACAGUAACACAAAGUACCAGAGCAUGGAGGAGGCGCCACACCAUGGUGAUGGGCUCCAGUGCUGGCAGUGCUGCUGGCGGUGCUGCUGGCGGUGCUGCUGGCGGUGGAGCAGGACUGUAGCAACACCAACUUCUGCGCCAUAGUGUCAGGCUUGAGGAAGGUGCCUGAGCCGGGGAUCUCAGUGAAUCUGAUGUCCACCUUCCCGCUGGCGUCGAUGCGGCCGAACACCUCGAGCUACUAUCGCUUCGCUAGGUCGCUGACCCCGCCUGACUGCGAGCGCGCGGUGCUCUGGACCGUCUUCGAGGACCCCAUACCCAUCCGGUGGGUGCAGAUGACCCUGUUCCACACCGUGCCCCAGGCUGGACCCUCCCACUUUCACCCCAUACCGCUCACGGAUAACUUCCGCCCACAGCAGCCUCUUAAGGGGCACGCAGUAUUGGCCUCCCCCAGAGCCUCGGUCCCCGCAGCAGACCCCCGCUCUUCCCCCACCCUAGCAGGUGUGCACUGUGCUCUGAUGGGCCUGGGGCUCAGCUUGUGG
rnacentral:sRNA from 1 species